UGGGGGAUAUUGCACAAUGGGCGAAAGCCUGAUGCAGCAACGCCGCGUGAGGGAAGACGGUUUUCGGAUUGUAAACCUCUGUCUUUGGUGAAGAAAGAAAUGACGGUAGCCGAGGAGGAAGCCACGGCUAACUACGUGCCAGCAGCCGCGGUAAUACGUAGGUGGCAAGCGUUGUCCGGAAUUACUGGGUGUAAAGGGAGCGCAGGCGGGAGAGCAAGUCAGCUGUGAAAACUAUGGGCUUAACCCAUAAACUGCAGUUGAAACUGUUUUUCUUGAGUGGAGUAGAGGUAGGCGGAAUUCCGAGUGUAGCGGUGAAAUGCGUAGAUAUUCGGAGGAACACCAGUGGCGAAGGCGGCCUACUGGGCUCUAACUGACGCUGAGGCUCGAAAGUGUGGGGAGCAAACA
rnacentral:rRNA from 1 species